rnacentral:rRNA from 1 species
GACGAACGCUGGCGGCGUGCUUAACACAUGCAAGUCGAACGGAAAGGCCCUGCUUUUGUGGGGUGCUCGAGUGGCGAACGGGUGAGUAACACGUGAGUAACCUGCCCUUGACUUUGGGAUAACUUCAGGAAACUGGGGCUAAUACCGGAUAGGAGCUCCUGCUGCAUGGUGGGGGUUGGAAAGUUUCGGCGGUUGGGGAUGGACUCGCGGCUUAUCAGCUUGUUGGUGGGGUAGUGGCUUACCAAGGCUUUGACGGGUAGCCGGCCUGAGAGGGUGACCGGCCACAUUGGGACGGAGAUACGGCCAAGACUCCUACGGGAGGCAGAAGUGGGGAAUAUUGCACAAUGGGCGGAAGCCUGAUGCAGCAACGCCGCGUGCGGGAUGACGGCCUUCGGGUUGUAAACCGCUUUCGCCUGUGACGAAGCGUGAGUGACGGUAAUGGGUAAAGAAGCACCGGCUAACUACGUG